rnacentral:lncRNA from 1 species
GCCAGGCCAGUAAAACAGAGGAAAAGACAGUUUGCCCCAGAACGCCGGGAGGUCAUCCGGGAAGAAAUUAACAAACUCAUCAGUGCCCGGUUCAUUCGGGAGGUUCAAUACCCCGACUGGCUUGCCAAUGUUGUUUUAGUGAAGAAGGCCAAUGGUAAGUGGAGGGUCUACAUUGACCUCACAGAUCUUAAUAAAGCAUGUCCAAAGGAUAGUUAUCCCCUACCGCGGAUUGACAAUUUGGUGGAUAGCACGUCUGGACAUAAGCUAUACAGCUUCUUGGAUGCGUUUUCUGGUUAUCAUCAAAUCCUCAUGGCCGAGGAAGAUCAAGAAAAGACCUCAUUCAUGGCCGAUUCCGCCAUAUACUGUUAUAAGGUCAUGCCUUUCGGUUUGAAGAAUGCAGGGGCAACAUACCAAAGGCUCAUCAACAAAGUCUUU